rfam:Listeriaceae bacterium FSL A5-0209 contig000011, whole genome shotgun sequence.
GUUCAUCUUCGGGGCAGGGUGUAAUUCCCGACCGGUGGUUAAAGUCCACGAACUGUUUCUUUUUGAGAUGGUUGAUUUGGUGUAAUUCCAAAACCGACAGUAUAGUCUGGAUGGGAGGAGAUGUUG